GUCUACUUAACUAAGCUUAAGUGUUUACUUUGAAAGUAAAAAAUAGAAUUUUCUAGUAGUCU
rnacentral:tRNA from 1 species